rnacentral:rRNA from 2 species
AGCCUGAUCCAGCCAUGCCGCGUGUGUGAAGAAGGUCUUCGGAUUGUAAAGCACUUUAAGUUGGGAGGAAGGGCAUUAACCUAAUACGUUAGUGUUUUGACGUUACCGACAGAAUAAGCACCGGCUAACUUCGUGCCAGCAGCCGCGGUAAUACGAAGGGUGCAAGCGUUAAUCGGAAUUACUGGGCGUAAAGCGCGCGUAGGUGGUUUGUUAAGUUGAAUGUGAAAGCCCCGGGCUCAACCUGGGAACUGCAUCCAAAACUGGCAAGCUAGAGUAUGGCAGAGGGUGGUGGAAUUUCCUGUGUAGCGGUGAAAUGCGUAGAUAUAGGAAGGAACACCAGUGGCGAAGGCGACCACCUGGGCUAAUACUGACACUGAGGUGCGAAAGCUUUUUUGUGCAAACAGGAUUAGAUACCCUGGUAGUCCACGCCGUAAACGAUGGGGGAGGGGGCGGUUGGGAUCCUUGAGAUCUUAGUGGCGCAGCUAACGCAUUAAGUCGACCGCCUGGGAGCUAACGCAUUAAGUCGACCGCCUGGG